rnacentral:rRNA from 1 species
UACGUAGGGGGCAAGCGUUGUCCGGAUUUAUUGGGCGUAAAAGGCUUGUAGGUGGCCACGCCAAGUCGGAUGUGAAAUCUCCCGGCUCAACUGGGAGGGGUCAUUCGAUACUGGUGGGCUCGAGGCCGGUAGGGGGAAGUGGAAUUCCCGGUGUAGUGGUGGAAUGCGUAGAUAUCGGGAGGAACACCAGUGGCGAAGGCGGCUUCCUGGACCGGUUCUGACACUGAGGAGCGAAAGCGUGGGGGAGCGAUCCGG